rnacentral:ncRNA from 1 species
GGGGCGAGUAUACAGUAGGCAUUUUCAUAAUGCAGAAAUCAAGACCCCUUGAAAUUUUUUAUUUUAUGGAAGGAGGACAUAACCGUCCUACAGUGAAAGUGGGUAAAUAUAUGCCUUGACGCGGUUGGCCGGACGCUGCUUGCAUGGUCGGGGAUGGCGAUAAUAUACGCUGAAUGGAAUCCAGCUAAGUACCCGAUUGCAUGACCAUUACCGCAAAGAAGAACACAACGCGCCCCUACAAUAACACUUCGCGAGGUAUUUAUCUUUAUGAACAGUGAG